UAAGACGGAGGAAGGAGGGGGCCACGGCAGGUCAGCAUGCCCCUAAACCCCCGGGCUGCACGCGGGCUACAAUGGCGUUGACAGCGGGAUCCGACCCCGAAAGGGGGAGGCAAUCCCUGAAACCCCGCCGUAGUUGGGAUCGGGGGCUGAAACUCGCCCCCGUGAACCUGGAAUCCCUAGAACCGCGCGCACCAUAGCGCGGGAACGC
rnacentral:rRNA from 1 species